rnacentral:rRNA from 1 species
UACGAGGGGGCAAGCGUUGUUCGGAAUUAUUGGGCGUAAAGGGCGCGUAGGCGGCGGGGUAAGUCGGGUGUGAAAUCUCAGAGCUCAACUCUGAAACUGCACUCGAUACUGCUCUGCUUGAGGACUGGAGAGGAGACUGGAAUUCACGGUGUAGCAGUGAAAUGCGUAGAUAUCGUGAGGAAGACCAGUGGCGAAGGCGGGUCUCUGGACAGUUCCUGACGCUGAGGCGCGAAGGCCAGGGGAGCAAACGGG